AGCCAUGCCGCGUGAGUGAUGAAGGCCUUAGGGUCGCAAAGCUCUUUCGCCAGGGAUGAUAAUGACAGUACCUGGUAAAGAAACCCCGGCUAACUCCGUGCCAGCAGCCGCGGUAAUACGGAGGGGGUUAGCGUUGUUCGGAAUUACUGGGCGUAAAGCGUACGUAGGCGGAUUAGUCAGUUAGGGGUGAAAUCCCAGGGCUCAACCCUGGAACUGCCUCUAAUACUGCUAGUCUUGAGUUCGAGAGAGGUGAGUGGAAUUCCGAGUGUAGAGGUGAAAUUCGUAGAUAUUCGGAGGAACAUCAGUGGCGAAGGCGGCUCACUGGCUCGAUACUGACGCUGAGGUACGAAAGUGUGGGGAGCAAACAGGAUUAGAUACCCUGGUAGUCCACACCGUAAACGAUGAAUGCCAGACGUCGGGUAGCAUGCUAUUCGGUGUCACACCUAACGGAUUAAGCAUUCCGCCUGGGGAGUACGGUCGCAAGAUUAAAACUCAAAUGAAUUGACGGGG
rnacentral:rRNA from 1 species